AUUAGAUUACUUGCCAUGGAAAUAUUUAUUUUGAAACAUUACUCCAUAGUUUUUAAAGACUUGUGCUGAUUUCGAUAAAAAUUCUAGAAAUAUAUUUUCCACGAAAGAAGCGCUGACGCAAUCAGCAGUAUAAGUAAUCUCCCUUAGAAUAGGAUUAUUAUUGAUCUAAAUGUUACGCAUACCUUAUUAAUCGAACCAGUCUGUAAGCUUUCGAACAUGGCGGACACACGCCUGAUUGACAGUGAAAGGAGAGAGAAGAA
rnacentral:sRNA from 1 species